UACAGAGGUCUCAAGCGUUGUUCGGAUUCAUUGGGCGUAAAGGGUGCGUAGGCGGCGCGGUAAGUCGGGUGUGAAAUCUCGGGGCUUAACUCCGAGACUGCAUUCGAUACUGCCGUGCUUGAGGACUGGAGAGGAGACUGGAAUUUACGGUGUAGCGGUGAAAUGCGUAGAGAUCAUGAGGAAGACCAGUGGCGAAGGCGGGUCUCUGGACAGUUCCUGACGCUGAGGCACGAAGGUCAGGGGAGCAAACGGG
rnacentral:rRNA from 1 species